rnacentral:rRNA from 1 species
AACGCUGGCGGCGUGCCUAAUACAUGCAAGUCGAGCGAGCUUGCCUAUCGAAGUUAUUUGGAAUGGGAAUAUAUGCAAGCUAGCGGCGGAUGGGUGAGUAACGCGUGGGUAACCUGCCCUUAAGUCUGGGAUACCAUUUGGAAACAGAUGCUAAUACCGGAUAAAAGCUACUUUCGCAUGAAAGAAUUUUAAAAGGCGGCGUAAGCUGUCGCUAAGGGAUGGACCUGCGAUGCAUUAGCUAGUUGGUAAGGUAACGGCUUACCAAGGCGAUGAUGCAUAGCCGAGUUGAGAGACUGAUCGGCCACAUUGGGACUGAGACACGGCCCAAACUCCUACGGGAGGCAGCAGUAGGGAAUCUUCCACAAUGGACGAAAGUCUGAUGGAGCAACGCCGCGUGAGUGAAGAAGGUUUUCGGAUCGUAAAGCUCUGUUGUUGGUGAAGAAGGAUAGAGGUAGUAACUGGCCUUUAUUUGACGGUAAUCAACCAGAAAGUCACGGUUAACUACGUGCCAGCAGCCGCGGUAAUACGUAGGUGGCAAGCGUUGUCCGGAUUUAUUGGCGUAAAGCGAGCGCAGGCGGAUUGAUAAGUCUGAUGUGAAAGCCUUCGGCU